rnacentral:rRNA from 1 species
UACAGAGGGGGCAAGCGUUAUUCGGAAUCACUGGGCUUAAAGGGUGCGUAGGCGGCGCGGAAAGUUGGGUGUGAAAUCCCUCGGCUCAACCGAGGAACUGCGCCCAAAACUACCGUGCUCGAGGGAGAUAGAGGUGAGCGGAACUUAGGGUGGAGCGGUGAAAUGCGUUGAUAUCCUAAGGAACACCGGUGGCGAAAGCGGCUCACUGGAUCUCUUCUGACGCUGAGGCACGAAAGCUAGGGUAGCGAACGGG